rnacentral:rRNA from 1 species
GAUUAACGCUGGCGGCAUGCCUAAUACAUGCAAAUCGAACGAAGCCUUUUGGCUUAGUGGUGAACGGGUGAGUAACACGUAUCCAAUCUACCCUUAAGUUUGGGAUAACUAGUCGAAAGAUUAGCUAAUACCGGAUAAUAACAUUCACUUGCAUGAGUGAAUGUGGAAAGUUGCGUUUGCAACGCUUUUGGAUGAGGGUGCGACGUAUCAGAUAGUUGGUGAGGUAAUGGCUCACCAAGGCGACGAUCAGUAGCCGACCUGAGAGGGUGAUCGGCCACAUUGGAACUGAGACACGGUCCAA